rnacentral:tRNA from 4 species
GGGGCCGUAGCUCAGUCGGUUAGAGUGCCGGACUGUCACUCCGGAGGUCGCGGGUUCGAGUCCCGUCGGCCCCG